GAUGAACGCUGGCGGCGUGCCUAAUACAUGCAAGUCGAGCGAACAGACGAGGAGCUUGCUCCUCUGACGUUAGCGGCGGACGGGUGAGUAACACGUGGAUAACCUACCUAUAAGACUGGGAUAACUUCGGGAAACCGGAGCUAAUACCGGAUAAUAUAUUGAACCGCAUGGUUCAAUAGUGAAAGACGGUUUUGCUGUCACUUAUAGAUGGAUCCGCGCCGCAUUAGCUAGUUGGUAAGGUAACGGCUUACCAAGGCGACGAUGCGUAGCCGACCUGAGAGGGUGAUCGGCCACACUGGAACUGAGACACGGUCCAGACUCCUACGGGAGGCAGCAGUAGGGAAUCUUCCGCAAUGGGCGAAAGCCUGACGGAGCAACGCCGCGUGAGUGAUGAAGGUCUUCGGAUCGUAAAACUCUGUUAUUAGGGAAGAACAAAUGUGUAAGUAACUAUGCACGUCUUGACGGUACCGAAUCAGAAAGCCACGGCGAACUACGU
rnacentral:rRNA from 1 species